UCUUUUAUUAUAUGCCCGAAAGAAUUUCGGGCAUAUUAUGUUAUACCCCCUGGCGUCCGUCCGUCCGUCCGUCCGUCCGUUAGCAAUUUGGUUUCCGGAGCAUAACUUAAGUUCCAUUUGUCCCACAGUAUUCAAACUUCAUAGGAUGAUUGUCCAUAUUGGGUAGAAGACCCCUAUUGAUUUUGGGGUCACAAGGUCAAAGGUCAAGGUCACUAUGACCUUAAAACUGAAAACAGUUUCCGGAGCAUAACUUAAGUUCCAUUUGGCCCACAGUGUUCAAACUUCAUAGGAUGAUUGUCCAUAUUGGGUAGAAGACCCCUAUUGAUUUUGGGCUCACAAGGUCAAAGGUCAAGGUCACUAUGACCUUAAAACUGAAAACAGUUUCCGGAGCAUAACUUAAGUUCCAUUUGGCCCACAGUGUUCAAACUUCAUAGGAUGAUUGUCCAUAUUGGGUAGAAGACCCCUAUUGAUUUUGUGGUCACAAGGUCAAAGGUCAAGGUCACUAUGACCUUAAAACUGAAAACAGUUUCCGGAGCAUAACUUAAGUUCCAUUUGGCCCACAGUGUUCAAACUUCAUAGGAUGAUUGUCCAUAUUGGGUUGAAGACCCCUAUUGAUUUUGGGGUCACAAGGUCAAAGGUCAAGGUCACUAUUACCUUAGAAAUGAAAACAGUUUCCGGGGCAUAACUUAAGUUCCAUUUGGACCACAAUAUUGAAACUUCAAAGGAUGAUUGUCUUGUGAAGGAGGUAAUGAUACUUUAUUUAAUUCCCAUGUCUUACAAAUUCUUCAUCUUUACUAAAAAAAAAAAAAAAUCACUUUCGGGCAUAUAAUGCUCCGCCUAGCGGUGCUCUUGUUAGUGUUUAAACAAUCUACAAAAUAGUUUGUUAUAUGAGCCGCGUCACGACAAAACCAACAUAGUGCGUUUGCGACCAGCAUGGAUCCAGACCAGCCUGCACAUCCGCGCAGUCUGAUAAGGAUCCAUGCUGUUAGCUAUCAGUUUCUCUACUUGUAAUAGGGUUGGUAAGCGAACAGCAUGGAUCCUGAUCAGACUGCGCAGAUGUUGGUUUUGUUGUGACGCGGCUCAUAUAUAUCAUUUAUUGAAUACAGUAAGAGUUUGUCUCUGUAUUAGAGAAUACAUUUAUAUACCCAUGAAAGAGAAACAUUGUAUUUGCUAUACUUAUAUAUCUUGUUACACAUGAUUGUAUGCUUAUUUAAUGAUUUUGUCAUUUUUGAAAUAGAUGUUAACAAUAUACAGGGCUAUAUUGUACUUGUUUAAAAUGUGCAUUUUACAAACAUUUAGUCUUGUCCAAAGUAGGAACUUUAAAAACCAUGUUCAUCUAUGUCUUGUAUGGUAACAUUCUACACAUUAUAAUACUGUAUCUGAGACCCUCCAAAAAAGUCCAUGGAUUUCACGUUUUUGAAAAAGAUACAGUAUUUUUGAUUUUCAGUAGGUAUUUUUGAUUUUCAGUAAAAUAAGGAACAAUAAUAUAAUACAGUAAUAGUUUUUUUAUUAAAAGAGAAAUAAAAUCUUAUUUUUUCUUUAUUCAAGUUGCUUAUGAAUGUUAUAUCUAAAUAGUUUGUAAUUUUAUUUUCUGUAUUAACAUUAAUGUGCCUGAGGUAAGUUUUUUGUCUUGGGCCUAACUUUGUUUAUAAUACUGGUCACUAUCAUAAUACAAAUUUGUUAUCAUUAUUUAUGCAUUUUUUGCAUUUGAUAAAAUAAAUAUAUACAUGAAUUAGAUAUAAA